rnacentral:lncRNA from 10 species
CUGCCUCAUCCUCCCAAAGUGCUGGGAAUACAGGCGUGAGCCACCGCACCCAGCCAAUUUUGAAUUACCUGAGUAGGGACAAUGUAACUUUUCUGGUACUCAGGUUCUCUAAGGAUCUUAAUCUGGCCCUGCUGGGACCCCUUUCUCCUAUAGUGUGAUUCUUGGAGCAAAUACCCGGCCAGACUUGGAUCUCCGAGACCCCAUCUGUGAUGACUUCUUCCAGUUGUGGCAAGACAUGGCUGAGAGCAACGCCAAUAUCUAUGAGCAGAUCUUCCGCUGCCUGCCAUCCAAUGCCACGCGUUCCCUGCGGACUCUCCGGGAGUACGUGGCCGUGGAGCCCUUGGCCACGGUCAGUCCCCCCUUGGCUCGGUCUGAGCUCACCCAGGUCCAGGGCCACCUGGUCCACUUCCCCCUCAAGUUCCUA